AAAAAAAGUGGUGAGAUCUCUCUCCCAGAAAGAAUGACAAGGCCUGAAAGGAGGAACGGUAUGUGCCGGUCUCCGUCGUGUUAAGAGGGAGGCGGGGCGUGCAGCGGGGCUACCAUAGCGGGGCGCCGGACCCCGCACCUCUCGCGUUUUCUUUUUUUUUCUUUGUCACAGCGCUGGGGAGGGGAGCAAGCUCCAUGCGUCAGUUCCCGCCAAAUUGUAGCUCUUUCGAGCGAGGACGUGCUGAAACACACUGCACAGAGACGGGCAAGCACUCAGAGGCAUUUCGUUUGCCUUGAUCCUGGAGGCGGCCUUCUCCCAUUGCCGAGGAUUUGAAGCGAACUCCUGGCAGAUCAGAAAUGUUCAGGCGAACGGCGGUUAUAUUUGUCCGUGGACCCAAGACUUCGUUGACGGGCAAAUAUGUCAGAUUUUCUUGUUUUUUAUUUGUGGCAUCUUAUUGUAAGACCGUGACAUAUUUUGCCGUUUUCUCUAGGGAACCCUGCAACAAGGACUGUAGUGUGAAUAGCGUGCUGCGCUGCUCUCGCCAACUGAAAAGAACUCUGUGACAUAGCCAACAACGAAAACCUCGAUCCAUCCUCUCUCCACAUAUUAUCUAGUCUGUGCGCUGUGGAGCUUGAAGCACUUCUCGGAAUUUCAGCACACUCGCAUUUAUUUUUUUCCCGACAGAAGAAAAAUGCAAGUCUAACAUCUCGACGGUAAAACGUCGCAUCUGCGCACAGGGCCAAGAGCACGAGAAGUGGCCGAAAGAAGGGAGCCGAUCCAACAGGAAUGCCGUCCGUCUUUAUAUUUAUAUAUGUCAGCGUUAUCAUGCCGUGAUCACAUGGACUGUACGGUUGCGUUGCACAAGGGCUGAUGCAAACACUCCGUGCGAACAAUGUUGCAUGGAAAAUUAGUGCAUCUAUACAAUUGCAAAAUAAAGAUCUAAAGAG